GGGCUCUUUAGUCCUUAAGCAAUCUGAGUGGGAUGUGGCCCGAAAAACAGAGUGCGACUAAAACUCUAGGAUUUCAAACGCGAUGGUUCAUCUUCUUUCUUACAAUCUGAAAGGAUAUCUGUUAUAGAUUCAUCCUCUUAAAGCCCUCCAUUAAUCUAUUACCCAUGAUCUAUCUUCAAUGUGAGCUUUAAUUCUGCAAGGCUGUGUAUAUGCAUGUAUAAAAAGACCGGACGCUCCUCCUCCACCGUUCAAGUGCAGUUGCUCCGGUUCUGGGAGGCCAUGAACAUCAUCCUCACAAAAGUUUAUUGUAUUUCUUCCACCGUUUAAGAGCAGAACCACCUCUGUUUUCUCUAGGCCGGCCAAGAGGAAGCAUAUCAGCGUAUGAGGAAGAGAAGAAAAACAGAGGGAUGAUGAGUGAUACGCGUAAGGGCUACGCCACCGUUAAAGAUCUAACGAAAAUACCCAUAGCCGGAGCUUCAAACAUUAAUGGCGGCGGGAGGAAAUCACUUGGAGGCGGAGGGGAGAGAAAAUUACUUGGCGGUGGUGGUGGUCGGAGUUGGUAUAUCUAACAGGCGCCUCCUUCUGUCAACUUCUCCAUGACACCGAGCGGCUUCAGUUUAUCAACACCAUAAGAAAAGGUCCUCUUGGUGCUCAUAUCGAACAUGUCAUUGAACUUUUAUUUGAGACAAGGCAAUCCUUUACAUCAGAGCCAAUGACGUUUACACCAGAACAAAUGAACAGAAGUUAUGUUAUUAUCCUUUCCAAAAAGGCUGUUUUUGAUGGUUAAGGAACUAUGUGUCAUGGGAGAAGGUUCUCUUACAAGGCUAGGCACGAUGUCAAGUAUCCUGCUGGGACUGCAGUUGUUGAUCUGAAAGUAGCUUACCUGAAUGACAGCAACUGUUGAUCUGAAAGUAACUUAUUGAGGAUUUGCAGGUUUGCUUUUAUUUUAUACAGUUGGUCUGGAUAAUGUUUACGUAAGUGUUUGGUCACCUUAGAUCCAGUUGGUUUUGGUUGGACAAAAUUGUCUCAGGUCGUGUGUUUAUGUGAAUAUAUAUGGUUUGGUUCUUGAUUGUGUUUGUAUUGUGCAUUCUCUGAAAGCUUCAACACAGAUAUGGUUGCUAUCAAGCGCUGAUUCAAAAGAGAAUAUUGUGUAUCCUAACAACUUCAAACCUCAGGUCAAAGUUGAUGACAAGUAUAAAUUUAUGCUCCACGACAGACAUUCCGAGCGACCUGCUUGACGUGUAGAAUGAGCUGCUUAAGUUUGGUCUGAAGCCAGUGAUGAACACUACACCAAAAGAGAGCUGCUGCACAGAUUCAAGGUGCACGGAAUAAACCAUAAAGAAGAAGAAACAAGAGAUCAGCAAGACAACAAGACUCACCAACACCCUUCUUCCCGAGCUCUUACAUAUCCUCAGUGGCAGCACUUCUCAUUCAGAUUUUGGGUCAGAUAUAUAAGUCUGAAGAAAUUUAUUUGCGCAUCUCUUCAUCGCCAGACAUAUAGGGUCCAACUUAAAAGGAUACCCUCGAUAAGAUACAAAUAUAAAUGUAUUACGGAAAUUACAAC